rnacentral:rRNA from 1 species
CACGUAGGGCGCAAGCGUUGUUCGGAAUUACUGGGCGUAAAGCGCGUGUAGGCGGCUCUGCAAGUCGGGUGUGAAAUCCCAUGGCUCAACCAUGGAAGUGCACUCGAAACUGCAGGGCUAGAGUCCUGGAGAGGAAGGUGGAAUGCUUGGUGUAGAGGUGAAAUUCGUAGAUAUCAAGCGGAACACCGGUGGCGAAGGCGGCCUUCUGGACAGUGACUGACGCUGAGACGCGAAAGCGUGGGGAGCAAACAGG